GUGGGGAAUAUUGGACAAUGGGCGCAAGCCUGAUCCAGCCAUGCCGCGUGAGUGAUGAAGGCCCUAGGGUUGUAAAGCUCUUUCAGUGGGGACGAUAAUGACGGUACCCACAGAAGAAGCCCCGGCUAACUUCGUGCCAGCAGCCGCGGUAAUACGAAGGGGGCUAGCGUUGUUCGGAUUUACUGGGCGUAAAGCGCACGUAGGCGGAUCGUUAAGUCGAGGGUGAAAUCCUGGAGCUCAACUCCAGAACUGCCUUCGAUACUGGCGAUCUUGAGUCCGGAAGAGGUGAGUGGAACUCCUAGUGUAGAGGUGGAAUUCGUAGAUAUUAGGAAGAACACCAGUGGCGAAGGCGGCUCACUGGCUCGAUACUGACGCUGAGGUGCGAAAGCGUGGGGAGCAAACAGGAUUAGAUACCCCGGUAGUCC
rnacentral:rRNA from 1 species